rnacentral:rRNA from 1 species
GAUGAACGCUGGCGGCGUGCCUAAUACAUGCAAGUCGAGCGAACGGACGAGAAGCUUGCUUCUCUGAUGUUAGCGGCGGACGGGUGAGUAACACGUGGAUAACCUACCUAUAAGACUGGGAUAACUUCGGGAAACCGGAGCUAAUACCGGAUAAUAUUUUGAACCGCAUGGUUCAAAAGUGAAAGACGGUCUUGCUGUCACUUAUAGAUGGAUCCGCGCUGCAUUAGCUAGUUGGUAAGGUAACGGCUUACCAAGGCAACGAUGCAUAGCCGACCUGAGAGGGUGAUCGGCCACACUGGAACUGAGACACGGUCCAGACUCCUACGGGAGGCAGCAGUAGGGAAUCUUCCGCAAUGGGCGAAAGCCUGACGGAGCAACGCCGCGUGAGUGAUGAAGGUCUUCGGAUCGUAAAACUCUGUUAUUAGGGAAGAACAUAUGUGUAAGUAACUGUGCACAUCUUGACGGUACCUAAUCAGAAAGCCACGGCUAACUACGUGCCAGCAGCCGCGGUAAUACGUAGGUGGCAAGCGUUAUCCGGAAUUAUUGGGCGUAAAGCGCGCGUAGGCGGUUUUUUAAGUCUGAUGUGAAAGCCCACGGCUCAACCGUGGAGGGUCAUUGGAAACUGGAAAACUUGAGUGCAGAAGAGGAAAGUGGAAUUCCAUGUGUAGCGGUGAAAUGCGCAGAGAUAUGGAGGAACACCAGUGGCGAAGGCGACUUUCUGGUCUGUAACUGACGCUGAUGUGCGAAAGCGUGGGGAUCAAACAGGAUUAGAUACCCUGGUAGUCCACGCCGUAAACGAUGAGUGCUAAGUGUUAGGGGGGUUCCGCCCCUUAGUGCUGCAGCUAACGCAUUAAGCACUCCGCCUGGGGAGUACGACCGCAAGGUUGAAACUCAAAGGAAUUGACGGGGACCCGCACAAGCGGUGGAGCAUGUGGUUUAAUUCGAAGCAACGCGAAGAACCUUACCAAAUCUUGACAUCCUUUGACAACUCUAGAGAUAGAGCUUUCCCCUUCGGGGGACAAAGUGACAGGUGGUGCAUGGUUGUCGUCAGCUCGUGUCGUGAGAUGUUGGGUUAAGUCCCGCAACGAGCGCAACCCUUAAGCUUAGUUGCCAUCAUUAAGUUGGGCACUCUAAGUUGACUGCCGGUGACAAACCGGAGGAAGGUGGGGAUGACGUCAAAUCAUCAUGCCCCUUAUGAUUUGGGCUACACACGUGCUACAAUGGACAAUACAAAGGGCAGCGAAACCGUGAGGUCAAGCAAAUCCCAUAAAGUUGUUCUCAGUUCGGAUUGUAGUCUGCAACUCGACUACAUGAAGCUGGAAUCGCUAGUAAUCGUAGAUCAGCAUGCUACGGUGAAUACGUUCCCGGGUCU